GGCAACACUUAUUCACUCGUACAGCAACGCUUUUGAAGCGUUUCUAUUUCUUAAUUCUAAAACUACACUUUGCAAGUGUGCUCUUAAGUUUUCCAAUAAAAUUUUAAAAUUUUCACCAAAACCUUCCCCCUAUUAUGAAAAGUAUACUCGGGAAAUCAAUUUCGAAUUGCCUUUCUCCGUUCAACCUCCGCUAAAUGUCCAUCAAUUAGUUGACAAAAAGAAAAAAGAAUUUCCAUCAAUUAGGCAAUAGGCUAGCCCUAUUGAAUUUGUUUUUGAUAUUUUCAUCUCCCUUUCAUUUUUCAUUAGUGUUUCAAUUUCUUCAAUUCCUUGCUUUAAUUUCGUGGAAACCUCCCAAAAUUUAUAGCUCCCAAAACUCUUACACACAAUGGCAUAUUUUUACGAUAUGGAAAGAUUGAGCCGCCGAAGGAGCUGAUGGAAAGAAUGGGUGUCGCAGAGAAAUUUGUCGAAGCAGAUCCCUGUGCUAUAUUGAAAUGGGUCUUUGUAUGUGUUUGUAUCUCUUUACUACUCUACUAAAUUUCAUCCUUUUUUUGUGUUUUCCUUUCGGUAGUUAAUAAGCAUUUGAGUAGUACAUCAGAUUAUCAUAUCUCCUAGGGCACAAUUAAAAAUCUCCAUUGUCGAAUAACCCUAACUCUGACAAUUAUUCUACUUAAACCAUUUUUGCUUCAUUUAUUGUGGCUCAAAUGAAUGGUGCAACUCAAAAAUGAUGAAAGCUCCAAGAGGUGAUUACAUUUACAGGGAUGACUUGAGCGUGACCCAGCUAGCUAUUUUCACAACCUUCGUGAUUAAACUAAGGGAUUCGUAUAAAUGACUUAGCUUCGUUCUUGGUAGUCUUCCUUUUCUUUAUCACCGAGUUUAGAUCUUAUCGAUGCUUUGUUUCUUUUGAUGUUGAUUCUCGCAUACAAUUUUAGUCUAAUAUUUAGCCAAAAAAUAUUUUAAGUAUACUUCCAAAGCUAUAACCUUACUCUAACUAUGUAGAGAAAUUAAUUUGAAGCUUAGUCGCAUAACAAGUGAAUCCAAUUCUUCUUAGCCGUAGAUUGGAUUAAUUUCAACGUUCUUUAAGUAAAUUAUUUUAGUUGAAAUAUCUCCUUUUUACAAUCAUGUUAUUAGAAAAUACUUUUAUAGCCUAGGUCUGAAUCCAAAUCUAAUUCUUGCACCUUUAAUUUUGAUAGUGGAGUCAAAACAGUUAGAAGUUUAAUUCAGUUUCUUGGUAGAGUUUUGCGAUGUUGUUGCUAAAUAAGAUUUUCUCUUAAUGGCGAACAGAUGAACAAAAUGAUUAUUGCUGAAGGAUUAUCUUUCAUUCAAGUGAAAUAUUAUUCAUCUAGUGAAAAUAUAAUUGGCAAUAUUUAUGAAUAUACUUGUCGUGUUUCUUUCCAAUGUAUAAACUGUAUAUAUUAGUUAAGGAUUAUCUUUUUUGUUCUUAUAUGAAUACAAUACCAACUGUAGUGAGUAAUGAUAGAUACCGAUAUUGAUUGUUCUUAUUAUUCGCAUAUGUGUAUGCUCUUUUUUCCACAGUGCAAGCAUACAGAUAUUGAUUGUUCUUAUUAUUCACAUGUGUGGAUGCACCUCUUUCCACAGGGCAAACAUAUAGAUACUGAUUGUUCUCUAAGUGUUGCUUCUUAAUUUAACUUAUACCUAUUAUGUCUUGAGCUUGCAUAUGAAUGCGAUAUAUCUGUCGUUUUAAGUUUCGAGCUGCUAAUGUUUUUCCUUUCUUUAGUUUUUUUUUUUUUAAUUUUUUAUUUGAUUUCUUCGUUAGGAUUAUUUUCAUUCAUUAGCUCUUUGCUUAAUUAAUGUUAUUACUGCCCAAAUGAUUAAACAUUUUUUGAAAAUUCAUAUUUGAUACACUUGUUGUUUUGAAAUGAACUCUUGCUUAGAUUCAGUUAUUUUCUGUGAAUGAUGAAAUGCAAGACAUGAAGGAAGAAGUGCAGGAACGAGAACAAUUGCGACAUCUUGUUUAAUGUAUUGGUGCAACCAACUUUGGUCUGUACAUUCAGAUAUAGGAGGGUAUGUCGAAUCUAACUUACCUUCUCUGAUUGAUGCGAGUAGUGCACGGGAUAUGAGAAGCCGACAUCUUCAACAUUUCUAUGGUCAACUUAUGGUUUGAUUUGUGAAAAGGUAAAUUUUGAUUGUUCUGAAUUUAUUCUCUGAGUAUCAAGGGAGCAAAUAUGCUAAGGUAGCAUAGAGUUAUAUUACUAUUUGGGUUUGAAACUAUGGAUAUUUUCACAAUGGUUGCUUAGUGUUAACUUCACAAGUAUAUAUUCUUCAUUUGACAGAUAUGUUUAGGCUAUGCCGAGGCUCGAGUAGAAGAAAGAGUACUUGAAUAGAGGAUUGUCUCAAACCCGUGAAGAUCUGAAUAAUCGGGAAAAUGAUCCAUUCCCUUUCUAAGAGGACUAGGAUCUUAAGUUGUUUUGCCUUUUCCCCUCCUUUCUUCAUACAUUAUUAUCCAGGGGACACCUAUACAAAAAGCUCAGUAUGCAAAAUUUUCAGAAAUUCUUGUAUGAUUCUUAAUUGGGAAAGAUUAACCACAAGCAAAAUCCGCAGUAAGAUCUCAAGGGAAUGUUACUAAUAGAACAUGUAGGAAUAUAAUUUGUCCUAUUCUUUUUUUUGCCGACCCUAAUUUCAUUUGCUCGGAUGCUUGAUCAUCCAAUGUGCUACUUUCCCUUUUUGUUUUAACUUUUUCCUAUUCUUGAAGAAGACUUUUUCUUGUGAUUAGGCACUAGAGAAUUUUAACACUAUCUGAACAAGGAAGAGAGGUUAGUAUUUCAAGCAAUCAGGGGUGUGAUAUAGCAGUCAAUGAAGUGAGUGAAAACCAUGAUGUUUCAGGUUAAAAUUCCGAUGAAAACAAAAACACUAGGUGAUUUUUUCCCAUCAUUCCAAGCCUUGGUGGAUAGAGUUAUCUAAUACUUGUUGUUGGUGGGAGGUGACACUAUCCCGUGAAAUUAAUCGAGGUGCGUGCAAGCUGGCCCGGAUACCAUGAUUAUAAAAAAAAAGAGGAAAAUACGGGUAAUGCAACUGAAAUGGAGACUACAAUUUAAUCUGAAGUGAAUGAUGAAGACUUUUUGAACAAUUGUGAUGUUUAUUAUUUAUGCCUUCAUGAUACUAUAUGAAAGGAAAAUGCGGGUAAUGCAACUGAAAUGGUGACCACAAUUCAAUCUGAAGUGAACGAUGAAGACCUUUUGAACAAUUGUGAUGUUUAUUAUUUAUGCCUUCAUGAUACUAUAUUAAUACAUUCUUUUUUGUAGAGUUCAUUACUAAUGCACAUCUUAAAACAUUGUGUUAUUAGUACCCAUAGUAUAUAAGAUAUGUCUUUUCGAAGUC